rnacentral:rRNA from 1 species
UACGAGGGGGGGCGAGCGUUGUUCGGAAUUAUUGGGCGUAAAGGGUGCGUAGGCGGUUUGGUAAGUCUUAUGUGAAAUCUACAGGCUCAACUUGUAGUCUGCAUGAGAAACUGCCGGGCUUGAGUAUGGGAGAGGUGAGUGGAAUUCCUGUUGUAGCGGUGAAAUGCGUAGAUAUCAGGAGGAACACCUGUGGCGAAAGCGGCUCACUGGACCAUAACUGACGCUGAUGCACGAAAGCUAGGGGAGCAAACAGG